GUUUGACUGGGCGGGCGAGCCGAGCCUCGCUCCCCCAAAUCCGCAGAGCCUGGAUCCAAUAAGCCACAGUAUCUGACUGCGGCGGUGCGGUCGGCAGCGGUGGGGCGCUCCAAUCUACCUACUGCACCCCCAAACGCCCCGCAGGCUGCAGCUUAGAGGUGCCUUCUCUCUUUCAAGACUUAAUUUGCAACAAAUGUUGGGAGUCUUUGUCUGAUCCAAGAAAUCAAGAGCUAACAGACCUGGAAACAUGCGGAGCGAAUCGCCGCAGAUAAAGUUCAAACGUUGAGGUCUCGAGACUGGGAAAGCGGCGCCGUAAUUUGAUCAAACCCAUCAGUUCUGCUCCUCUGGCUUUCGUCGUUUCCACCUUGGAGAAUGACAGACUGACAUGGAAACGACCUUCUGACCUCUCACACUGAUUAACAGCUUCUCCCCUGCUGUUGUCUUUCCACUCAGGCAUUGUGUUCAGACGCCUAAAUCUAUAUUAUUACAUUGAAACUUGUGGUUUUUUUAAGCAGAUUGCUACAUUUAAGUACCAUAAGCAUAAUUGGAGUUGGAUUUUAUUCUCCUGAGUGAACUUGCGACCCAUUUAUGCCGCUGCUGAAUAUAUUAAAGUGUUUUGUCACUUUCAUUAUUUUUGGAACCAAAAUAAGUUGAGCAACCCGCCCUGCAGCUGCAGUGAAGACGAGCAUGGUGAAAUCGUCGCAGCAGCCGGUUGUUUUGCCGCCACGGGGGCCAUUACUGGAGCGGUUUUAACCUCUCCACCUCCUUCCCGUCUCAAUCAGAGGCGUCAACAUGCUAAUAACUCCGCCGAGAUGCGCUUCAAGUCGCCUUUUGAUCUGCUCCGAAGCCGGGACGGCGCCGUGGUCGCCGGCGGUAACAAGGACCGCGUCUGCCCUCCUCCGUUUACGAGGCGAUUCUGACCCUGAUGGAGCCUGGAGGGGAAAUGGCAUCGAGACGCAAGCACCGCUUCCUGUCGGGUCAAAAUGAGAUGCUAAUUAAUUAGCAUUGGCAUCUUUAGCAAUGCGUGUCAGCUCCCAUUUGGGUUCAAACCGAGUCGGUUCUGGCCGCCGCCUCAGGUCGGACCUCCACCAUCAAGAAUCUGAUCACAUUAUGGAUCAAUAGGAAUCAAUCAAGCAUCUGACAACAAGCGUCUCUUCAUCUAAACAGCCUCCAGUUUGGAGGCUUUGAAGUCUUUCACAGGAAGAAAUGCACUCUGGGCAAUGUAGUAAUUCCCUCAGUAAUCUCCGAAUUUACAUAUCAAAGCCUUAUAUGGGCGGUAAAAGGUUUCAAGGUAGAUCUUAAUAAAUCUAACUUUUAGAAAUCCAUUAACUUCAAUGUUAUAUAACAGCUGGAAUUCAUCAGAGGUCUGGGAGGCCCGAAUCUGGUCUAGUCAAAGUCCAGAUCUUGUUUCCAAAGAUCAAUCUGAUGGAACAUUUAACCUAAAAACAACAUUAACACCAGGCGAGGCAAAAUCAAAGUUAAAUUACAAGAAUAAAGUUAUUUACCAGGAUAAAGUCGCAAUCUUACAAUAAAGCUGAACUAUGAACUUUACCAGGAUAAAGUUGUAAUAUCACGGACUAAAAAUCAUAAUGAGAAUAAAAUUAUCGUAUUUGGAGAAUGAAAUAGUACUUUUAUGAAAACUCUUACACAAAAAAUAAAGAUCGUUGAAUCUUGUGAAGUCAUAUUUCAUCUUUUAGCAGCAAAACUUUCAAAUAUGAAAACGAGAGUCUAUCACAAAGAAAGGACCGGACGGCCUUCUGUCACAGCUAAUCAUGCAAAAAAUAUUGAUUAUUUUAUAUUUUUAAGCUGCAAUAGGUUCGGUUGUAAGUGACGGAAACAAAGGAACGUUUUGCGUUUGGAAGAAACGGGCCUGAGAGGACGAGACAAACAAAUUAGAUUAAUACUCCUGAGGAUCCAGAACCAGGAAAACACACCAAAUAAGGAAAAGGAAGCCGGCAGGUUGACCAGGUUCCCAUCAAGAGGCCAGCAGCAGUCAUUAACCGGAGAUAAUAAGCACAAGGUCAGGAGAUUUCUGAAUUAUCUCCCCGUCUCCCCACUGUUCUGUCGGCCCCCUACCAAGUUGUGCUCAAGAGUGGCCUCACAUUAAUCAGCGCUUUAAUUGCCACUUCCCUCCGAGUGUGUGGGGAAUAAGGCCAAUUUCCCCGAGUCGCUCCUUCAGGACGACGCAGACAGGUUCUCAGAAACACAGACACCCAGGACUUGGAGGUCCGUUUUGACGCGUUUUCAGUCAAAGUGAUGGAGAAAUGUCAACAUUUGUUAAUCCAAGAAGUUGGUAAAUAUUUCAUGGUUCUACUUGUUUAUUUUAUGGGAGUCCAAAGUGAGGCGCGUGGGCCAUUUGCAGCCCUCGGAACAAUUUUGGGCGGUCCUUGGCUCAGAAACAUUUAGAAUCGAUGUUGGUGAAAUUUUUACCGAGACUGUUCAAAAAAGAUACAAUUAAAAUCUUGGAAAAUGUA